CUACGGGGUGCUGCAGUGGGGAAUCUUAGACAAUGGGCGCAAGCCUGAUCUAGCCAUACCGCGUGAGUGAUGAAGGCCUUAGGGUCGUAAAGCUCUUUCGCCAGGGAAGAUAAUGACUGUACCUGGUAAAGAAGUCCCGGCUAACUCCGUGCCAGCAGCCGCGGUAAUACGGAGGGGACUAGCGUUGUUCGGAAUUACUGGGCGUAAAGCGCACGUAGGCGGACCGAAAAGUUGGGGGUGAAAUCCCGGGGCUCAACCCUGGAACUGCCUUCAAAACUGCCGGUCUAGAGUUCGAGAGAGGGGAGUGGAAUUCCGGGUGUAGAGGUGAAAUUCGUAGAUAUUCGGAGGAACACCAGUGGCGAAGGCGACUCACUGGCUCGAUACUGACGCUGAGGUGCGAAAGCGUGGGGAGCAAACAGGAUUAGAUACCCUCGUAGUC
rnacentral:rRNA from 1 species